rnacentral:tRNA from 1 species
GCCUUCGUGGUGUAAAGCUAGCACACUCGGCUCCUAUUCGAAAAGGUCCAAGGUUUGAUCCCUGGCGAGGGCA